rnacentral:rRNA from 1 species
GACGAACGCUGGCGGCGUGCUUAACACAUGCAAGUCGAACGGAAAGGCCCUGCUUUGGUGGGGUGCUCGAGUGGCGAACGGGUGAGUAACCCGUGAGUAACCUGCCCUUGACUUUGGGAUAACUUCAGGAAACUGGGGCUAAUACCGGAUAGGAGCUCCUGCUGCAUGGUGGGGGGUGGAUAGUUUCGGCGGUUGGGGAUGGACUCGCGGCUUAUCAGCGUGUUGGUGGGGUAGUGGCUUACCAAGGCUUUGACGGGUAGCCCGGCUGAGAGGGUGACCGGGCCAAAUGGGACUGAGAGACGGCCCAGAGUCCUACGGGAGGCAGCAGUGGGGAAUAUUGCACAAUGGGCGGAAGCCUGAUGCAGCAACGCCGCGUGCGGGAUGACGGCCUUCGGGUUGUAAACCGCUUUCGCCUGUGACGAAGCGUGAGUGACGGUAAUGGGUAAAGAAGCACCGGCUAACUACGUG